CCUACGGGGGGCAGCAGUGAGGAAUAUUGGUCAAUGGGCUUACGCCUGAACCAGCCAAGUCGCGUGAGGGAAGACUGCCCUAUGGGUUGUAAACCUCUUUUGUCAGGGAGCAAUUGGCGCUACGUGUAGCGUUAUCGAGAGUACCUGAAGAAAAAGCAUCGGCUAACUCCGUGCCAGCAGCCGCGGUAAUACGGAGGAUGCGAUCGUUAUCCGGAUUUAUUGGGUUUAAAGGGUGCUGAGGCGGAAUGCCAAGUCAGCGGUAAAAUCGCGGGGCUCAACCUCGCUCCGCCGUUGAAACUGGCGGUCUUGAGUGGGCGAGAAGUAUGCGGAAUGCGUGGUGGAGCGGUGAAAUGCAUAGAUAUCACGCAGAACUCCGAUUGCGAAGGCAGCAUACCGGCGCCCAACUGACGCUGAAGCACGAAAGCGUGGGUAUCGAACAGGAUUAGAUACCCUUGUAGUC
rnacentral:rRNA from 1 species